rnacentral:rRNA from 1 species
CCUACGGGAGGCUGCAGUGGGGAAUAUUGCACAAUGGGGGAAACCCUGAUGCAGCGACGCCGCGUGAGUGAAGAAGUAUUUCGGUACGUAAAGCUCUAUCAGCAGGGAAGAAAAUGACGGUACCUGACUAAGAAGCCCCGGCUAACUACGUGCCAGCAGCCGCGGUAAUACGUAGGGGGCAAGCGUUAUCCGGAUUUACUGGGUGUAAAGGGAGCGUAGACGGCAGCGCAAGUCUGGAGUGAAAUCCCAUGGCUUAACCAUGGAACUGCUUUGGAAACUGUGCAGCUAGAGUGCAGGAGAGGUAAGCGGAAUUCCUAGUGUAGCGGUGAAAUGCGUAGAUAUUAGGAGGAACACCAAUGGCGAAGGCGGCUUACUGGACUGUAACUGACGUUGAGGCUCGAAAGCGUGGGGAGCAAACAGGAUUAGAUACCCCAGUAGUC